rnacentral:antisense_RNA from 1 species
AUCGCCGCGGCCGGGAUAGGGGGCGCUGCCGUUCUGGCCGGCUCUCUCGGUGCCCUGGAGGACCUGGCCGGCUUCGCGGGAAGCUGUGUUCAGAGCGCGCGGCCGCCCUCUGGCAGGGCGGAGUUCGUUGCACUUUUGAGGGUUCUUCACGAAGACAUCCAAUACAUGGAAAACAAGUAACAGCAACAGUAACGAAUUUUUAAAUAUUAAAAUUGCUGGGGAACACGACGGAUCCUGCAGCUGCUCGGCUGUCCUGGUCAAGUCAGUGACACUAGGGCUCCGCACCCUGCCCUGCAUACCGUAGGUGCUCACGAAACGUUCGUGAGUUCCCUACUUUGAGGAGACAAGCUUAAAACCUCAGAAUCUAAGGUUUGAGUCUCCCCAAACCUGCUUGUUGGGCAGCGUCCCCCGCCCGGGCUCGCCCUGCACGCCCCACGCCGGAGCCACGCUUCUCCAGCCCGGACCCCUGCCUCCUUCCAGGCUAUUCUCGGAACCGCAGCCAGAGGGAAUUUUUUUUUCUUUCUUGAAACGUAGAGCAGAUCUGGUUACUCUUCUGCACAACGCCCUAAAAUCUAGGGCCCUUCCCAUCCCUCAGAAUUUACAUCUAAUUCUCAGCUCCCCUCCGGCUUGCUGUAGCCAUCCUGGCUUUUGUUUAGCACAGCACUGAUUGUUAGCGACAUUAUAUUGUGUAUUAUUUAUUAACAUAUUUGUUUUUUACAUCCCUCACUAGACCCCCAGGAAAGAGGCUUUGAUUUGUUGCCUGCUGCAAGGCUGGCUGCAUAAUUUGUGGGGCUCAGAGAAAAGUGCAGAGCUUCCUUGUUCAAAAAACAGAAGGAAAGUGACUUUAAGGUCAUAAAAUAUAAAACUUUCUCUUUCUUCUCAGUUUCUCUCUUUUCAUAGUGUUUUUAUGUGUUAUUUAAUGUCAUUCCAAGAAAAAUUUAGACUUAAAUUGUUAGCAUGAAGUUUAUCAUCCAUCUUUACGUUGUGCAAUGCCAGUUUUAAAAACUAAUACAAGUGCACUGAACUCAUAUGUGGAAUCACAGAAAUGAUACAAUUUGUACUUCGUAGCUUAUACAUGCAUAUGUAUUUUGUUUUUACCAGAACCACGCUGGUAAAAACAAAUGCUGCACAAAGUGAACUUGCCUGUUUUCAUCGCACUUUAUGUGCACGAAUUCUACCUCCACUCUCGACCUGGGACUCAACGAUGCGUCAGGAAGGACUGAAAAGCAAAAGAACUAUGGACUGGCCUUUUGGCAUAAUCAGGCGUCUAAUAUAAAGAAGUGCAUGAAUAAGAAAAUAUAUGAUAUGUGUGAUGGUUAAUACUGACUGUUAACUUGAUUGGAUUGAAGGAUGCAAAGUAUUGAUCCUGGGUGUGUCUGUGAGGGUGUUGCCGAAGGAGAUUAACAUUUGAGUCAGUGGGCUGGGAAAGGCAGACCCACUGUUAAUCUAGAUGGGCACCAUCUAAUCAGGUGCCAGUGCAGCUAGAAAUAUAAAGCAGACAGAAAAAUGCGAAAAGAGAGACUGGCCUAGCCUCCCAGCCUGCAUCUUUCUCCCAUGCUGGAUGCUUCCUGCCCUGGAACAUCGGACUCCAAGUUCUUCAGUUUGGGACUUGGACUGGCUCUCCUUGCUCCUCAGCUUGAAGACUGCCUAUUGUGGGACUUGUGAUCAUGCUGAUUCAAGGAGGCCCUGCCCGGCAUCCUUCCUGCUCCACCAGCCAUCACGAUGCCACCUUCCAUGAGUUCCAUUUCCAGGACUGGCCCAUCUGGGCAUCACAGUCCCAACCACAGUGCGUGUUUGGUCCCUGGGGCUUCCUGGAUAACUUGGAGCUUUGUGAGAACGCCAAAAGGAUUUCUUCUGAAGAACCAAACCCGUGUUUCAUAGGCGACACGCAGUUUGCUCCUUUCAACAUGCACACAAAGCACACAUGCAUGAAACAGCAAACGAGAGCAGCCUUGGCAUGAUCUGAGAGUCUGCCAAUCCCUUCCUCACCAGAGCAGGGCUCAAAACCAUACUCCUCACAUCCUCGGAUUCUGGGGUGCAGCCCUCAGGGACAGCUUGGGGUUGAGGCCAGAACACGGCUGGCAGGGCCCAGAGCUUCUCAACUGACACCACCUGGCACCACCUGGCACGUGGCUCAGAGCCGUUGGGGCUGGCCAAGGGUUGCUUUUCCAGUAUGGUUUGCUCAUUUUCUUUUGCUGCUCUUGUUCUCGUUCUCAACUGCACUCUCUGCUCUGUCCCUGCUCCUCAAGGGUUUCAAGAUCAAGAUGCUUAUUGUCGAGAACUGUCUUCCUUUCAAAAAUGGCUUAUAGUUCUGGCCACCAAAUGCAGGAUUUUAGCUACACUGCCACAUCAUUCAAC